rnacentral:tRNA from 1 species
CACCAGAGGGCGCAAUAAGACCUGCUAACUC